CCAAGCAACACUAGGUAAGUGAUUUCUUCAAAAUUUUGAGUUAAAUAUGUGAUCUUACAUGGAUUUAGACAUGAAAAAUUAGUAUAAAUUUGGAAUUUUUGGGGAAGACCUAGAAUUUGUAAUUUUGGACUUUUACCUUGAAAUUGAGCAUGAAAAUUAGAACAAAUUGUAUAUUUUAGUUAGUAAAGCUAUGGGUAGAAUUUAUCUUCGAGAAAUUUCGAAAUUCGGGCACGUGGGCCUGAGGGCAUUUUGGUCAACUUUUCGAGCGGAGUUGGGAAAUUAUAUAAUUUGAAUUGUUACAAGUAUUAGAGUGAAUUUUUAUUGGUUUGACCGUUGUUUGAAUAGUUUUGGGGCGUUGUGCAUCAAUUGGAGUCGUUGGAAGGGCUUGGAAGCCGGUUAUGGAAAUUUCGAAGCGAGGUGAGUCUCCUUUCUAACCUUGUAAGAGGAAAUUGUCCCAUAUGUAAAAUAAUUGGUUAUGUGCUCCUAUUUGUGGGGGCUACGUAUGCACGAGGUGACGAGAAUCCGUGCGUAGCUGCUAUUAUGUUUAAGUCCGGGGUAGUCUAGGACGCAAAAAUAUGCUAUACUUGAAAAAAUUGUAAUCUUAUUGAUAGUUGAAUUGCUUAAAUCCUAUCGAAUAGUUAAAUGAAUUUCCCAAAGGAUUAAACUUCAUUUUUUUAUUGAAUCAUUAAUAGAGAAUUGGCUUUUAUUUGGAUAAACAUUCCUCGAUAAAUUCUUAAUUGGCUGUUUGAGUAUGUAUUUCUAUGUGUACAUGCAUCGCAUGAAUGAUUCGUGAGUAGGGUGAUUGUUUAUUUAAAUUUGACCGCGUCGCAAGUAUGAUUCGCGAGUGGGGUAAUAGAUGCAUCUAUGGUUCGAGCCGUUCGACCCUCGACAGUGCACAUUUUACAUUUCUAUUGGAUCGGGCCGUACGACCUCUGCAUGAUAUGCGCAUGCUUGUAUUGCUUACCUGAGAAUUUUAAAUGUUGAUAAUUGCCUUUCCUGGCUAGAGAUAAAUUGAUAAAGAUAAUGAAAAGUAAAUCUUUGGAAAUCCUCAUUAUUUGAGAAGUUGUUUACCUGCUUUCUGGCUUUAUGCUUUUAAUUUUGCUUAUGAAAUCCAUGAAUUUCUCACAUUUUUACUACAUUGUCAUUGGACCACUAGUAAGUGUCGAAGUCAACCUCUCGUCUCUACUUCUUCGAGAUUAGACGGGAUACUCAUUGGGUACUGGUUGUUUUCGUACUCAUACUACAGUUGCUGUGCAUUUUGUUGCACAUGCACAUGCAUAUCUAGUGGCCUAAUGGGCGUAGCAGCAUGGUUGAUACAGAGACUUAGGUAAAUUGCAUUUCUUGUGACGACCCACAGCCAGUAGAGUCUCUUUCAAAUUUCUGUAUUUACUUUCUGUCCAAUAUUGUAUUCCGGACGAUUGUUGUAUUACAUUAUUUCCUAGAAAUUGCUCAUGCACUUGUGACAUCGGGUUCUGGGAUGAUCACGGGAUUUUUCAAUAGUUAAAUUUUGUAAAGACAUCCUCAUUUAUCCAGUGGAGUUUAUUAUUUAUUAUUUAUUUAUUUAAAGGAAAUGAUUUCAAAUUAAUUAAAUUGAGAAAUUGCUAGUAAAUUGUAGUUGGCUUGCCUGACAGUGGUGUACGGCGCCAUCAUGACCCUUAGUGGAUUUUGGGUUGUGACAACAUGGUAUUAGAGCACUUGGUUCCCUUAGGUCUCAUGAGUCAUGAGCAAGUCUAGUCGAAUCUCGCGGAUCGGUACGGAGACGUCUGUACUUAUCUUCGAGAGGCUACAGAGCUGUUAGGAGUACUUCCCUUCUUGAUUCCUCAUCGUGUGAUUUGAUUCCUUGAGGCUUAUGCCCUUGUUUCCUUCCUACUCAAUCUUAUGCGAUGCGAACCACUUGUUAUAAAUCGAGAAUUAAAAAAUUAUAAUAGUACUACAGAUGUGGUGCGGGAUGUUUCUUCCGGUAUAGUUGGUUGGGCCAUUGUCAUCACCUUGCAGAAGGAAUUUUCUAUUGUUUUGGCUCAGUAGUUGUGCUUCUAAGAGCUUGGAGGCUAUGCAUAGGUUGCUAUGAUGCUCACGAUUGGUUAUCGCGCAGUAUUGACUUGAUGGUAAGAUACUUGCCCAUGUGUUGGGGCGGUGAAUGAUUUGAAAGGAAGUCUACUCAGUGCACGAUUCAGAUAUCUGAUAUUUCAUUUCCGGUAGAGGAAAAAUAGUUGGCCUAUGAAUGUCCAGAUUUGGGAUGAUGGAGUAACGAGACUUGGUAUUUUCGAGUGUGGUGGAAUAUUCAUCUGUGAUGUAGUGUUGUCAUCCUCGAUUGUAUGUGUUAAGUUUGCCGGUGUUAUGGUUUUCUGCAAUUCGCCUUUGGGGUAAGAUAUGGUGAAAUAAUAUUGGAGAAACGACUAUUAGAUAUUGCGGGGUAAGGUGGUUCAGGAUUGAAUCGGCGUUUCUAAUAUUGACGGCUCGAGAAAGUUGAUCUUCUGAAAGGGUUAAAGUUAGUAGCGAUUUGUGGGUUCAAGUGUUACGAAGAUAGAUUUUAUUUAAGGCAACAACUGAGCAGCAAAGGAUGAGAAAGGACAUGUGGGGAGUGUUAGGCGGUGGUUAAAAUUUCUAGAAGGUCAGGUAUAAGAAGCAAAGGUCGAGUGGUCGAUUAGAUGGGUGAGUUCCGCCAACGUGGGAGAGUGGCGGAGUUGCAUAUGGGCUUUGUGUUAGGAUCACUAUGCACCUUAAGGAGAGUUUGGAACGACUUGGGAAUUUUAGUGAUUGAUGAUUGGGGUCUACGAAUCUAAUUUGAAGUAUGAGCUACUAUACUGCAGGAGAUUUGAUAUAACGGAAAGGAGCUACUUGAAAUGAAGAAGAUACAACAUAGCUUUGAAUUGGAAGGAUGUUGCUGCACAUUUAAUUGAUGUCCACGAGGGGUGAAUGGACUUGUCCAGUUAGAGAGUGAGCUCGGACUUAGGAUGUGUUAUUGAUGUCAUAGUGAUUGUACCUCGUGCAGCAGCGUUGGAAGAUGUCGGCAUGUAAAUUCCACAUACGGGUUAUCUCCAGUGAGCAGAUCGGCGGUCGCAUGGUUGGCGAAGCUUCUGCGAAGAAUUCUAUUAGUUAUACAGCAAAGAGACCGGUCGUGCGAAUGUGGUUGAUGAUUUAGAGUAUAAAAUGGGUUUUACAGAAAGAUUCCGAGAAUUAUGGAGGUUGAUUGCGCAAGGUUAUGUCAAUUAGAGAUAAAGAAUCCUGAUGAAUUUCAGAGUUGUGUAAUAGUGGCUUCAAGCUAAGAGGUAAUUUGAGCAAAGGAAUUGUUAAAAGUAUGCUAUGGUUGGCCUUAUUGGCUCAUGUUCAGACUUGGGGAAGGAUUCGAGAUUUAUGCCAUGUAUAAAUGCGGGUUUCAAGGGAAGUGAUUCUGCCGGGUGCUUCGUCGACAGGGUAUUCAUGUGCUAGAAGAUUCAUGGAGUUGAUUAUAUUCGGGGCCAAGUCAGAGCGGGUGGCUCUCAACAAUGGUCCUAGUGGAUUCAAAUGGGCAAAGUGUGGUGCCUAAUGAUUGCGAGCCUAUAGGUACGGUUAAGAAUCAAGUUUUGUAUCACCUUAUGAGAAGAGGCCCAGAAUAUUCUAUGAUGUUUUGACUUGCAGUGUAGCAUUUGGGAGGUAUGAAAUGGUUCGUGGGAUUUGAGACAACAUGGUCUCGCGACUCAAGGUCGCUCGGGAUGAGUGCGGAUGGAGUGUGUUAUGUAUUGAAUGAAAUUAUUAUUAUUUCUAAGGCAAUCAAGGAUAAAUUGUAAAGAAGAUAGGUUGGUUAGCCAUAGUUGAAUUGGCAUAUUGCUGGUAGUGAUCAGUUCCUUCAACGUGAUCAAGUUAUGCAAGUGAUUUGUGACAGUGCGUGUGAGGCUUGUCGGCCACCGUAAUUGAUGUUAUUCAGAAGUAUUCCACUAUUAUGGCCUGUCAUGUGUAGGCGGAUCCCAGAAGGGCUAUGGUGACUUAGACCACUACUUAGAGAUUUUCUACGGUUAUGAGAAUUCACACGUGUGUUGCCAUGGUUAUCCUGAAAUGAGUUAGGUGAAAAGUUUUAUAUGAUGACGUGUUAAUCUAUUAGUGGUUACGGAGUUAUGAUGAAAAUCGUGUUCUAUCGUAUAUUGGCAUGUUGGGUGCAGUGAGGAGUAUGGAAUUUGAAGUGAGGAUCAAGGUUACACUUCGGUGUUGACAAGGAUGUCAUGAGCUCGGAUGAGCAGUAAACGAGUUUCGAUGUUUAAAGUAAGUGGGUAUCGUCUUCAGCGUCACCUGAGAUCAGUGUUUUGUGAAAAAGGCCUUGCAUCCUGGUUAUGGAUUCUUGAACGCUUUCUCAGCGUUAGUGCGGCUGGUGGUAUGGAUACACAUACUUGUUGUCUGUUACGAAAGGUCGUGGGAGCGUGCCCCACAUGAAGAUUGUAUAAGUGUGGCAUGUAGUCACUUGAUUGAUUGAAGAUUUAAACCAAGUAUGAAGACAGUGGUGAUAUCAUUAAUUUGAGAAUUUAUGCUUGAAGGGCACUCAACUUAUUGGGUUGUGGACUGUGGAGGAUUGCCCCGGUUAUUAUGGUAGUUCUCGUGUGUUAUGAGAAAAAAGGAGUUAUUAUGGACCUUCGAAAGGUUAUUAGCCUAGUACAAUGUGAUCAGAAUCAACUUGGGGUCUGUAGAUGGAUCUAAAUGUGAAUAUGGGCUCUAUAUCAGGCCAGAUGUGUUCAUUUCAGCAAUGCGCUCCUUUGGACAAGUAGUCGGGGUACUAUUUCGUCGUCAACUAUUUCAUGUAAUGAUAUAUUGCGCCGUAUGAGUUGUGAGACGGCUUGGUGAAUUUCUUAUGUGUUGAGGUUCCGCGUAGAGAUGAUGUUAUAUGAGCAGGAUAGCUUUCGAGAUUCAGAUCGUAUAUCGCACCUCAGUUAUGCUUGAGUUUUGUAGCCUUUGGAACUAUAUGUCUCCCCAGGAAUGGUAUUAUGCACUUACUGUGCUUGUGACCGAUGUUCGAUAUUUUGCUGUAAUGAGCAAUUUAGCUCGAUGUAUAUCUCCUUAUAUGAAUUCUAUGUAUGAAUCGGGUAGCACGCCUCCAUGGGUAUGUUAUUUGUAUCGGGUUGCACGCCGCAACAGUGUGAUGUUGAGUACAGUUUUCUAUAUGCUAUUUGUGUAUGCCUUGUUUCCUAUUUUCUAAGGAAAGUCCAUAUUAGUAAAAGUAGUUCCUUCGAGAGUUUGUUUUCCUUUUGUCAUGUUCGAGUUCAUAGCCUAUUGGCACAUUGUGGCAUCAUAUGAGACUUUUGAUCAUGUCCGGGGUGGCUUAUUGCCUGAGCGGUUCGUACUGGGUGAGACGAGAUCAUUGGAUUUAGGAUCAGUGCAAUCUGAUUAUAUGAAGUAUAUUAAGGAGCUAAGACCAUUAUUUGGUUCAGAAUGAGGUGAUGGUUCUUGUCAGGAGUAUAGACCCAAUGAUUUGUUGAUUUGCCAGUUGGGUAUGAAUUUCUACACACCUCUUCUAUCUUGGCGGUAUUUAAGAGUCAGAGCAAUAUGUAUAUAGGUCAUGAGGUGCAUUGGGAUCAUCAAAUUCGUGGAAUUUCAACUAAUUUUAUCAGAGAAUGCUAUUGUGGUCCUGUAAGUAAAGUGGUGCAAGGUGUGAUUUCAGCUAAGGUAUGCAGUCAUGUUUUGGUGUUACGUAUAGUUAUUGAUACGGUGAGCGUAUGUUGGGUCAGGUCUGGCAGAGAAUUCCGGAUGUUGGAAUUGGACUCUAAGGCUUCUUGGCUUAAGUGGAAAGGAUAUCUUCAGAUUGAUCGAGCUAGGGUGCCCAUCUAAGUUAUGGUAGCACGGGUAGGUGCUUGAGGUGUUAAACAGUGAUUUCAGACAACCCCAACAUAGUUCUUAGCACAUUCGAGGAUGAACGUAUGUUUAAGUGGGAGAGAAUGUAACGACCCGACCGGUCGUUUUGAGCUCUAGCGCGUCAUUCAGAAGUUUGGGGCCAUGAGCAGCUUCACUUCAGAUAUUAUGACUUGUAUGCAUGAUCAGAAUUGAAUUCCGGGGAAUUCAGAGUUGAUUUGGAAAGGGAAUUCUCAUUUCAGAAGCUUUAAGUUGAAAGAAUUGCCUAAGAUUGGAUUUCAGAAUAAACGACCUCGAAAUAGGGAUCUGAAGGUUCUAGUAGGUUCGUAUGAUGAUUUUUGGACUGGGGCGUAUGCCCGGAUCGGGUUUUGGAUGACCCGGGAGCAUUUUGGCGCCUAUUGUGGAAGUUAGCAUUUUGGAAGAAAUUUCAUAAGUUUGGGUUGAAGUACAUUUCAGUGUUAUCGAUGUCCGUUUGGGAUUCCGAGUCUGGGAGUAGCUCCGUAUGGUGAUUCUGGAGUUGGCAGCGCAAUCAGAAGUGAAUUCAGUGGUCCGUAGGUCAUUUUGAAGUCAUUUGGCUAAAGAUAGAAAUUUGAAGGUUUUUGAAAAGUUUGACCAAGAGUUUGACUUUUUGAUAUCGGGGUCGGAUUCCAAUUCCAAAAGUUGGAACAGGUCCAUAAUGUCAAAUAUGACUUGUGUGCAAAAUUUGAGGUCAAUCGAACGUGAUUUGACGGGUUUCGGCAUCGAGUGUAGAAGUUUGAAAUUUCGAAGUUCAUAAAGUUUGGAUUGGAGUACGAUUCAUGAUUUCGACGUUGUUUGAUGUGAUUUGAGGCCUCGAGCGAGCUCGUAUCAUGUUUUGAGACAUGUCGUAUAAUUAUUUAAGGUCCCGAAGGACUCUGGUGGAUUUCGGAAGGUUAACGGAAUGAAUUUCGGACUAAAGAGUUGCUGAAAGUUUCUGCAGAAAGCUGUUUUGACAGCAACUAGUGCAAUCGUGGAGCUGCAUUUGGAAGCUUAUAUCUCGCAAUUUAUAAGGAAUCUGAAUUUUUACAAAACAUAAAAGUUGUUACCCUUACAUUCUAGUUUCCAGAAAUUUAAACCAUUCAUAAUUUGGACAUUUUAUCAGAAAGGUAUGAUCGAUUGAAAAUGGCUAGUGGAGCAGUUUCGACAGAAUUUUCUGAUGCAUGGAGCCGAAUUUAGAAGCUCAUAUCUCGGAAUAUAUAAAGAUUUAUAUGGUGUGCAACCUAUAAAAUGAAAGAUCUUCGAGUCUAGUUUCUAAAUUUUCAAACCGUUUGUCAUUUGGAUAUUUUUACAAGGAGUUACGGACAUUUUAACAGAAGGUGUACAACAGAAGGUACAACUCGAUGAAGCCUGGGCAAGUUGUUUUAAAUAUGAGUUUUGGCCCAUUUCUUUCAUUUGGCUUGGACGAUUUUAUGGAGCUCAAGGAGGUAUUUUUACGAAGCAACACUAGGUAAGUGAUUUCUUCCUAUUUUUGAGUUAAAUAUGUGAUCUUACAUGGAUUUAGACAUGGAAAAUUAGUAUAAAUUUGGAAUUUUUGGGGAAGACCUAGAAUUUAUAAUUUUGGACUUUUACCUUGAAUUUGAGCAUGAAAAUUAGAACAAAUUAUAUAUUUGAGUUAGUAAAGCUAUGGAUAGAAUUUAUCUUCGAGAAAUUUUGGAAUCCGGGCGCGUGGGCCCGAGGACAUUUUGGUCAACUUUUCGAGCGAAGUUGGGAACUUAUAUAAUUUGAAUUUUUACAAGUAUUAGAGUGAAUUUUUAUUUGUUUGCCGUUGUUUGAAUAGUUUUGGGGCAUUGUGCAUCAAUUGGAGUCCUUGAAGGGCUUGGAAGCCGGUUAUGGAAAUUCGGUGCGAGGUGAGUCUCCUUUCUAACCUUGUAAGAGGGAAUUGUCCCCAUAGGUAAAAUAAUUGGUUAUGUGCUCCUAUUUGUGGGGUCUAUGUACGCACGAGGUGGCGAGAGUCCGUGCGUAGCUACUAUUAUGUUUAAGUCCGGGUAGUCUAGAACCCAAAAACAUACUAUACUUGGAAAAAUUGUAAUCUUAUUGAUCGUUGAAUUGCUUAAAUCCUAUCGAAUUGUUAAAUGAAUUUCUCAAAGGAUUAAAAUUCAUUUUUUUAUUGAAUCAUUAAAAGAGAAUUGACUUUUAUUUGGAUAAGCGUUCCCCGAUAAAUUCUUAAUUGGCUGUUUGAACAUGUAUUUCUAUGUGUACCUGUGUCGCAUGAAUGAUACGCAAGCAGGGUGAUUGUUUAUUUAAAUUUGACCGCGUCGCAAGUAUGAUUCACGAGCGGGGUAAUAGAUGCAUCUAUGGUUUGGGCCGUUCGACCCUCGGCAGUGCACAUUUUACAUUUCUGUUGGAUCGGGCCGUACGACCUUAGCAUGAUAUGUGCAUUUUUGUAUUGCUCGCCUGAGAAUUUUAAAUAUUGAUAAUUGCCUUUCCUGGCCAGAGACAAAUUGAUAAAGAUAAUGAAAAGUAAAUCUUUGGAAAUCCUUAUUAUUUGAGAAGUUGUUUACUUGCUUUCCGGCUUUAUGAUUUUAAUUUUGCUUAUGAAAUCCAUGAAUUUCGCACUAGUAAGUGUCGAAGUCGACCUCUCGUCUCUACUUCUUCGAGAUUAGACGGGAUACUCAUUGGGUACACGUUAUUUUCGUACUCAUACUACACUUGAUGUGUAUUUUUGUUGCACAGGCAUAUGCAUCUCUAGUAGCCUAAUGGGCGUAGCAGCAUAGUUGAUACGGACACUUGGGUGAGCUGCACUUCUUGAGAUGACCCGCAUCUAGUAGAGUCUCUUUCAAAUUUUUGUAUUUACUUUCUGUCCAAUAUUGUAUUUCAGACGGUUGUUGCAUUGCAUUAUUUCCUAGAAAUUGCUCAUGUACUUGUGACACCGGGUUCUGGGAUGAUCACAGAAUUUUUCAGUAGUUAAAUUUUUUAAAGACAUCCUCGUGUAUCAAGCGGAG
rnacentral:lncRNA from 1 species